rnacentral:rRNA from 1 species
UUGAUCCCUGGCUCAGGACGAACGCUGGCGGCGUGCUUAACACAUGCAAGUCGAACGGUGAAGCCCUUCGGGGUGGAUCAGUGGCGAACGGGUGAGUAACACGUGGGCAAUAUGCCCUGCACUCUGGGACAAGCCCUGGAAACGGGGUCUAAUACCGGAUAAUACCUUCUCCCGCAUGGGGGUUGGUUAAAAGCUCCGGCGGUGCAGGAUGAGCCCGCGGCCUAUCAGCUUGUUGGUGGGGUAAUGGCCUACCAAGGCGACGACGGGUAGCCGGCCUGAGAGGGCGACCGGCCACACUGGGACUGAGACACGGCCCAGACUCCUACGGGAGGCAGCAGUGGGGAAUAUUGCACAAUGGGCGAAAGCCUGAUGCAGCGACGCCGCGUGAGGGAUGACGGCCUUCGGGUUGUAAACCUCUUUCAGCAGGGAAGAAGCGCAAGUGACGGUACCUGCAGAAGAAGCACCGG